rnacentral:rRNA from 1 species
GAUGAACGCUAGCGGCAGGCCUAACACAUGCAAGUCGAGGGGUAUAGGAAGCUUGCUUCCUAGAGACCGGCGCACGGGUGCGUAACGCGUAUGCAAUCUACCUUGUACAGGGGGAUAGCCCAGAGAAAUUUGGAUUAAUACCUCAUAGUAUAUUGAGUUGGCAUCAACACAAUAUUAAAGUUCCAACGGUACAAGAUGAGCAUGCGUCCCAUUAGUUAGUUGGUAAGGUAACGGCUUACCAAGACAAUGAUGGGUAGGGGUCCUGAGAGGGAGAUCCCCCACACUGGUACUGAGACACGGACCAGACUCCUACGGGAGGCAG